rnacentral:rRNA from 1 species
GAGUAACCUGCCCUUGACUCUGGGAUAAGCCUGGGAAACUGGGUCUAAUACCGGAUACGACCAUCUGGCGCAUGUCAUGGUGGUGGAAAGCUUUUGUGGUUUUGGAUGGACUCGCGGCCUAUCAGCUUGUUGGUGGGGUAAUGGCCUACCAAGGCGACGACGGGUAGCCGGCCUGAGAGGGUGACCGGCCACACUGGGACUGAGACACGGCCCAGACUCCUACGGGAGGCAGCAGUGGGGAAUAUUGCACAAUGGGCGCAAGCCUGAUGCAGCGACGCCGCGUGAGGGAUGACGGCCUUCGGGUUGUAAACCUCUUUCAGUAGGGAAGAAGCGUAAGUGACGGUACCUGCAGAAGAAGCGCCGGCUAACUACGUGCCAGCAGCCGCGGUAAUACGUAGGGCGCAAGCGUUAUCCGGAAUUAUUGGGCGUAAAGAGCUCGUAGGCGGUUUGUCGCGUCUGCUGUGAAAGACCGGGGCUCAACUCCGGUUCUGCAGUGGGUACGGGCAGACUAGAGUGCAGUAGGGGAGACUGGAAUUCCUGGUGUAGCGGUGAAAUGCGCAGAUAUCAGGAGGAACACCGAUGGCGAAGGCAGGUCUCUGGGCUGUAACUGACGCUGAGGAGCGAAAGCAUGGGGAGCGAACAGGAUUAGAUACCCUGGUAGUCCAUGCCGUAAACGUUGGGCACUAGGUGUGGGGGACAUUCCACGUUUUCCGCGCCGUAGCUAACGCAUUAAGUGCCCCGCCUGGGGAGUACGGCCGCAAGGCUAAAACUCAAAGGAAUUGACGGGGGCCCGCACAAGCGGCGGAGCAUGCGGAUUAAUUCGAUGCAACGCGAAGAACCUUACCAAGGCUUGACAUGAACCGGAAAGACCUGGAAACAGGUGCCCCGCUUGCGGUCGG